GGAGAGGUCGCAUAGUGGCCGAGUGCAGCUCACUGCUAAUGAGUUGAACCCGUAAGGGUUCCCAGGGUUCGAAUCCCUGCCUCUCCG
rnacentral:tRNA from 1 species